rnacentral:rRNA from 1 species
GACGAACGCUGGCGGCGUGCCUAAUACAUGCAAGUAGAACGCACAGUUUAUACCGUAGCUUGCUACACCAUAAACUGUGAGUUGCGAACGGGUGAGUAACGCGUAGGUAACCUGCCUGGUAGCGGGGGAUAACUAUUGGAAACGAUAGCUAAUACCGCAUAAUAUUAAUUAUUGCAUGAUAAUUGAUUGAAAGAUGCAAUUGCAUCACUACCAGAUGGACCUGCGUUGUAUUAGCUAGUAGGUGAGGUAACGGCUCACCUAGGCGACGAUACAUAGCCGACCUGAGAGGGUGAUCGGCCACACUGGGACUGAGACACGGCCCAGACUCCUACGGGAGGCGGCAGUAGGGAAUCUUCGGCAAUGGACGAAAGUCUGACCGAGCAACGCCGCGUGAGUGAAGAAGGUUUUCGGAUCGUAAAGCUCUGUUGUAAGAGAAGAACGGGUGUGAGAGUGGAAAGUUCACACUGUGACGGUAUCUUACCAGAAAGGGACGGCUAACUACGUG